rnacentral:rRNA from 1 species
GACGAACGCUGGCGGCGUGCUUAACACAUGCAAGUCGAACGGAAAGGCCCUGCUUUUGUGGGGUGCUCGAGUGGCGAACGGGUGAGUAACACGUGAGUAACCUGCCUUGACUUUGGGAUAACUUCAGGAAACUGGGGCUAAUACCGGAUAGGAGCUCCUGCUGCCUGGUGGGGGUUGGAAAGGUUCGGCGGUUGGGGAUGGACUCGCGGCUUAUCAGCUUGUUGGUGGGGUAGGGGCUUACCAAGGCUUUGACGGGUAGCCGGCCUGAGAGGGUGACCGGCCACAUUGGGACUGAGAUACGGCCCAGACUCCUACGGGAGGCAGCAGUGGGGAAUAUUGCACAAUGGGCGGAAGCCUGAUGCAGCAACGCCGCGUGCGGGAUGACGGCCUUCGGGUUGUAAACCGCUUUCGCCUGUGACGAAGCGUGAGUGACGGUAAUGGGUAAAGAAGCACCGGCUAACUACGUG